GCCGGGCGUGGUGGCGCGCGCCUGUAGUCCCAGCUACUCGGGAGGCUGAGGUGGGAGGAUCGCUUGAGUCCAGGAGUUCUGGGCUGCAGUGCGCUAUGCCGAUCGGGUGUCCGCACUAAGUUCGGCAUCAAUAUGGUGACCUCCCGGGAGCGGGGGACCACCAGGUUGCCUAAGGAGGGGUGAACCGGCCCAGGUCGGAAACGGAGCAGGUCAAAACUCCCGUGCUGAUCAGUAGUGGGAUCGCGCCUGUGAAUAGCCACUGCACUCCAGCCUGGGCAAUAUAGUGAGUCCCUGUCUCUA
rnacentral:SRP_RNA from 1 species